AUUGAACGCUGGCGGCAGGCCUAACACAUGCAAGUCGAGCGGGGUUUUCGGACCUAGCGGCGGACGGGUGAGUAAUGCGUAGGAAGCUACCCGAUAGAGGGGGAUACCAGUUGGAAACGACUGUUAAUACCGCAUAAUGUCUACGGACCAAAGUGUGGGACCUUCGGGCCACAUGCUAUCGGAUGCGCCUACGUGGGAUUAGCUAGUUGGUGAGGUAAUGGCUCACCAAGGCGACGAUCCCUAGCUGGUUUGAGAGGAUGAUCAGCCACGCUGGAACUGAGACACGGUCCAGACUCCUACGGGAGGCAGCAGUGGGGAAUAUUGGACAAUGGGCGCAAGCCUGAUCCAGCCAUGCCGCGUGUGUGAAGAAGGCCUUCGGGUUGUAAAGCACUUUCAGUAAGGAGGAAGAGUUGUGUGUUAAUAGUACACAGCUUUGACGUUACUUACAGAAGAAGCACCGGCUAACUCUGUGCCAGCAGCCGCUGUAAAAC
rnacentral:rRNA from 1 species